GAUAAACGCUGGCGGCGCACAUAAGACAUGCAAGUCGAACGAACUUAACCCUUGCUUGCAAGGGAGCGGUUAGUGGCGGACUGGUGAGUAACACGUAAGAAAUCUGCCUAUCAGAGGGGAAUAACAGUGAGAAAUCACUGCUAAUACCGCAUAUGCCAUAGGGUUCGCAUGAACCUAGUGGGAAAGGAGCAAUCCGCUGAUAGAUGAGCUUGCGUCUGAUUAGCUAGUUGGUGGGGUAAAGGCCUACCAAGGCGACGAUCAGUAGCCGGACUGAGAGGUUGAACGGCCACAUUGGGACUGAGAUACGGCCCAGACUCCUACGGGAGGCAGCAGUCGGGAAUAUUGCGCAAUGGAGGAAACUCUGACGCAGUGACGCCGCGUAUAGGAAGAAGGUUUUCGGAUUGUAAACUAUUGUCCACAGGGAAGAAAAAAGAC
rnacentral:rRNA from 1 species